AAGGCGCGCGAUACAGGGUGACAGCCCCGUACACAAAAGCGUAUGUGCUGUGAGCUCGAUGAGUAGGGCGGGACACGUGGUAUCCUGUCUGAAUAUGGGGGGACCAUCCUCCAAGGCUAAAUACUCCUGACUGACCGAUAGUGAACCAGUACCGUGAGGGAAAGGCGAAAAGAACCCCGGCGAGGGGAGUGAAAAAGAACCUGAAACCGUGUACGUACAAGCAGUGGGAGCCCCACCACUAAGCCAGUGGUGAACUCCACAUACGCAUCCUUUGCUGAGGAUACGGUUAACGGAGCGAAAGCGACGUUCAACCGCAAAAGAAGCAGAGGGGGCUUAGUGGUGGGGUGACUGCGUACCUUUUGUAUAAUGGGUCAGCGACUUAUAUUCUGUAGCAAGGUUAACCGAAUAGGGGAGCCGGAGGGAAACCGAGUCUUAACCGGGCGUUAAGUUGCAGGGUAUAGACCCGAAACCCGGUGAUCUAGCCAUGGGCAGGUUGAAGGUUGGGUAACACUAACUGGAGGACCGAACCGACUAAUGUUGAAAAAUUAGCGGAUGACCUGUGGCUGGGGGUGAAAGGCCAAUCAAACCGGGAGAUAGCUGGUUCUCCCCGAAAGCUAUUUAGGUAGCGCCUCGUGAAUUCAUCUCCGGGGGUAGAGCACUGUUUCGGCUAGGGGGCCAUCCCGGCUUACCAACCCGAUGCAAACUGCGAAUACCGGAGAAUGUUAUCACGGGAGACACACGGCGGGUGCUAACGUCCGUCGUGAAGAGGGAAACAACCCAGACCGCCAGCUAAGGUCCCAAAGUCAUGGUUAAGUGGGAAACGAUGUGGGAAGGCCCAGACAGCCAGGAUGUUGGCUUAGAAGCAGCCAUCAUUUAAAGAAAGCGUAAUAGCUCACUGGUCGAGUCGGCCUGCGCGGAAGAUGUAACGGGGCUAAACCAUGCACCGAAGCUGCGGCAGCGAACGUAUCACUUAA
rnacentral:rRNA from 1 species